GAUGAACGCUGGCGGCGUGCCUAAUACAUGCAAGUCGAGCGAACAGACGAGGAGCUUGCUCCUCUGACGUUAGCGGCGGACGGGUGAGUAACACGUGGAUAACCUACCUAUAAGACUGGGAUAACUUCGGGAAACCGGAGCUAAUACCGGAUAAUAUAUUGAACCGCAUGGUUCAAUAGUGAAAGACGGUUUUGCUGUCACUUAUAGAUGGAUCCGCGCCGCAUUAGCUAGUUGGUAAGGUAACGGCUUACCAAGGCAACGAGGCGUAGCCGACCUGAGAGGCGGAUAGGCCACACUGGAACUGAGACACGGUCCAGACUCCUACGGGAGGCAGCAGUAGGGAAUCUUCCGCAAUGGGCGAAAGCCUGACGGAGCAACGCCGCGUGAGUGAUGAAGGUCUUCGGAUCGUAAAACUCUGUUAUUAGGGAAGAACAAAUGUGUAAGUAACUAUGCACGUCUUGACGGUACCUAAUCAGAAAGCCACGGCUAACUACGUG
rnacentral:rRNA from 1 species